rnacentral:rRNA from 1 species
UGUGUUUGGUCCUGGCUCAGGAUGAACGCUAGCGGCAGGCUUAACACAUGCAAGUCGAGGGGUAACAGGAGAGCUUGCUCUCGCUGACGACCGGCGCACGGGUGAGUAACGCGUAUGCAACCUACCCAUAACUGGGGGAUAGCUUCCGGAAACGGAAAUUAAUACCCCAUAGUAUUAUAAUACCGCAUGGUAUAAUAAUUAAAGUUCCGACGGUUAUGGAUGGGCAUGCGUGCCAUUAGUUUGUUGGUGAGGUAACGGCUCACCAAGGCUAUGAUGGCUAGGGGGUCUUAAAGGAUGGUCCCCCACACUGGUACUGAGACACGGACCAGACUCCUACGGGAGGCAGCAGUGAGGAAUAUUGGUCAAUGGGCGCAAGCCUGAACCAGCCAUGCCGCGUGCAGGAAGACGGCCCUAUGGGUUGUAAACUGCUUUUAUAUAGGAAGAAAAUGUUCUACGUGUAGAGCACUGACGGUACUAUAAGAAUAAGCAUCGGCUAACUCCGUGCCAGCAGCCGCGGUAAUACGGAGGAUGCAAGCGUUAUCCGGAUUUAUUAGGUUUAAAGGGUGUGUAGGCGGGAAAUUAAGUCAGUGGUGAAAUCCUGCAGCUUAACUGCAGAACUGCCAUUGAAACUGUUUUUCUUGAGUAUAGAUGAAGUGGGCGGAAUGUGAUGUGUAGCGGUGAAAUGCUUAGAGAUAACACAGAACACCGAUUGCGAAGGCAGCUGACUAAACUAUAACUGACGCUGAUGCACGAAAGCGUGGGGAUCGAACAGGAUUAGAUACCCUGGUAGUCCAUGCCGUAAACGAUGAUUACUCGUUGUUCGCGAUACAUUGCGAGUGACUGAGCGAAAGCAUUAAGUAAUCCACCUGGGGAGUACGUUGGCAACAAUGAAACUCAAAGGAAUUGACGGGGGCCCGCACAAGCGGUGGAACAUGUGGUUUAAUUCGAUGAUACGCGAGGAACCUUACCUGGGCUUAAAUGGGGAGUGACAGACUUAGAGAUAUGCCCUUCUUUGGACAAUUUACAAGGUGCUGCAUGGCUGUCGUCAGCUCGUGCCGUGAGGUGUCGGGUUAAGUCCCAUAACGAGCGCAACCCCUAUCCUUAGUUGCCAGCACGUAAUGGUGGGGACUCUAGGGAGACUGCCGGUGCAAACCGAGAGGAAGGCGGGGAUGACGUCAAGUCAGCACGGCCCUUACAUCCAGGGCUACACACGUGCUACAAUGGUCGGUACAAAGGGCAGCUACAUAGUGAUAUGAUGCUAAUCUCCAAAACCGAUCUCAGUUCGGAUCGAAGUCUGAAACUCGACUUCGUGAAGCUGGAAUCGCUAGUAAUCGGAUAUCAGCCAUGAUCCGGUGAAUACGUUCCCGGGCCUUGUACACACCGCCCGUCAAGCCAUGGAAGUUGGGAGUGCCUGAAGUCGGUAACCGUAAGGAGCUGCCUAGGGUAAAACUAGUGACUGGGGCUAAGUCGUAACAG